AGUAUUUUUAAAAUGUAACGCAGUUUAACGGCUUGUUAUUAGAUAUUCUAAUAUCCAGAAUUGUUUUUUAUUAAAAGUAAUAUAACAAUACACUUUAAACAAGAAUUGGACAAUGUUACUAUUAGUAGUUAUUAUAAAUAUAUUUAAGGAACUCGGCAAAUAGCCGCUCAACUGUUUAUCAAAAACAUAGCUAUGUGCGCUAAUACAUAGUUAUUUCUGCUCCAUGAUUAUUAAAUAGCCGCAGUACUCUGACUGUGCAAAGGUAGCAUAAUCAGUUGGCUUUUAAUUGGAGUCUGGUAUGAACGAACACAUGGGUGGCGACUGUCUCAAUAUAUUUUUCCUAACUUUUUAAUCAAGUGAAAAUACUUGUGCUAAUAAAAAAGACGAGAAGACCCUAGAAACUUGAAAAGUUUUUUGUUGGGGCGACAGAGUUACAUAUAACUAAUUUUAUUGAACAUGACAUUAAUUAGAAAGGAUAAGUUACUCUAGGGAUAACAGCAUAAUUUUAAUAGUUUGUGACCUCGAUGUUGGAUUAGGUACUAUACCCUUUAGGCAAGGGUAUAAGACGCUCUGUUCGAGCAAAUACACCUACAUGAUCUGAGUUCAGACCGG
rnacentral:rRNA from 1 species